AGAAUGAGGCAAGAGCCAGAGUGCGUGAGGCCGCGGGAGAUGCCAGCAAUACUGAGUGGGUGCUGAGCAAGUGCUCACUCCAGUUUGGCAUCAACCGCGGCAAAACGUUCAUCUGGCUGCUCAGUAAUGACUGGGGCUGGGCAGUCAUGGUGCUGGCCAGCCACGAGACCAAGAGGGCAAUUAAGCAUCCACAAGGGGACAGCCAGUGGGACAACAAGGAGGCCCUGAGACGAUAUGCUCACUUCUUCCCACCCCUUGUGGAUGCCAUUCAAAAUCGAAUCGAUCAUGAGUUAGGGAGAGUCGAUCUUGGGGCGGAGCCAGUUGGGUUCGGCCCAUUUGGGCAGAUGACAAGGAGGGCUGUCCUGGCAUCCAAGUCACCAGAGCACAUCCGGUGGCUCCAGCAGGUAUCCCAGCUGCCUGUCCGACAACCUGGGAGCUCACUAGAUGUGUUUCUAAAGUACGCGAGGGGGUGUGAGCAAGCAGAGGUGCAGUCUGAUGAUGCUGAUCUAGUCGAGGCACUUGAUCAGUAUGAGCAGUCAGACUGCCCCAUCUAGCCUGCCCCCCCCCUGGAGCCAAGACAACCUUCACGGGUGGAGCUUCUGGAUCAGCCGACGGGGAAGCCGUGGGGAACAGUGAACUUAGACCCCGAACAGCCUGAUGACCUGACUGCUGAGGAAGAAGACGACAUGGAUGACGAAGGCUUCCUCGAGAUGGACAAAGACCCAACCGUGCCUACCCUGCUAGCACCUUGUGCCUUAGCUACUGCCCCUUCAGUCUCAGAAGUUCCAGCGUCCACUGUUUCCUCCUCUUCCCCUCUGCGACGCUCCCCUGGCCCAUCAGGUACUAUCUCUGCAAGUACUUCUGGCAGCCCACGUACUCUGAACCAAGACAGCCCACCUUCUCCUUCGCAGGCGGGAUCUGAUGGUGGCGAUGAUGAAGAUGUUGUCGGUCCGAUGGAAGAAGCUUCCUCCCUCCUUCCAGAAGAGCCGAGUUCUCUACCCUCCUCGGUACAGGGCAAACAAGGACUACACUGGCCGAUUCCAGCGAUCCAAGGCUAACAAGCAGACUGUAGCACCGGGAAUCACCAGCCUGAAGAGGGUUAUGGUUUGGGAAACUCUGAUCCAGCCAUAUCUGUGGAUGCAAGCCCCCUGGUCUAAGCCCUCUGCGUACGCCUUGAAGCUGCCUUCACUACACCUAAAAAGGGCAGCAACAUUCGCAUAGUGUCAACGUGAAAGGUAAUCCUGGAUAAAUACCAAAAUAUCCGGAAAUAUCCAGUAAUCCUCCACAAACGGCUCAUUACGACUACAAACAUCCAACACUACGAGCUCAACCAGACAACCCUUCUCGGUUGGUGGAACAACAGGACAAAGUAGAUAAAAAGGUGUUGGAGCAAUGUCUUGAACCUAUUGUAGCUGAGGAAGCAGCUGGCGCCCAGCUUUCAUCUGCCAAGGCCUUGUUACCAGCACCAACCCAGCAUCCCGGUCCUACACAGCUUUACAGUGGUACAGUCUGCGCAGCUGCCUCCAUGCCCCAACUGUGGUGUAUAACAAAGUCCACCCUCGGUCGAGGAGUGCCUCAAAGUAAAAUAACAAUUUAUGAUAUUUUUUUAAACCUUAUAUCAUUUUCAAAUUUCAAACUAGAUAAUUGAACAGCAACUCUGAAUCUUUCAGAAGCUCCCAUCAACAACACCAUAUGCCGCAGCCAUCAGACGGUAAGAUUCCAGUUUCCUUUUCGUACAAAGACUGAUAAAAUUCACUAUGAAAAUUUUUGAACCAAAAUAAUAUAUGUGCAAUAAGCUUCCAAAUCUAACUUGGCCUGCAUGUGGAACUCAUGAUUACCCACAAAGUGAAUCGUAAGGAAAGCUGCACAGCUGCUUCACUAUAGGUUUCUACCAGCUAAAGUUUGGGAAGUUUAGAGGACAGACCUUCAAGUGGCUGGUAGAAAACAGUUAAGGAUAUGCUGCCUGGUUAGUUGAUAAUGCCCGCCUGGAGACAACAAACACCAGUGCCAUCUCUCAGAACAAAAACGCCUUCAAAACAUACCUACUGUUCUUCCUCGAAGGAAAAGAGGCGGUCGGCAUGAAAGGCUACUGAGAGAGAGAGCAAGUCAAAGGGCGGAGCAAACAAACCUACCAGUGCUUCCAAAUCUGAACUAGGAGCUGCAUGUGUAGCCGUCAUGCGCAAUUCAAGAUUACCCUUAGAGUUAAUCCCAAGGAGGGUUGGGCAGCUGCUCUAUAGUAAGGCUAUACAGCCUAAUUUAGUUAGAAGAGGUAUGUAAUAAGGACAUAAUAAAAUAAAAGGAUAUAAUAAAAACAAAAAUCAGGGUAAAGCGGCACAAGGACAGGAAGCUUCCAGGGAGGGAAUGAGAGAACUGGAAACGGACGAUUGUUUGUUAUAGGUGGGAUUGUAAACAAUGUGAAGCUGUGCUGUGGAGGGCUCGCAGUGGGUCUUCAUAUAUGUGAAAAAUUUGGCAAGAGAUAUUACUUAAGUGGGAACCCCAUAUUUAACAAAACUAAUCAUUAGACAAAAUCCUCCAUCCAAACCAUGAUGAGCCUGAUGAAAAUAAAGGAACCGGUAACGGAUUGUAUUGCCAAGCCCUUGUAUGGUAAAACAAAGAGAUGGUUUAAAACAUCAGCUACUGCAAAACCAAUGUCUGUGUUGGAAGAGAUCUCUAACAACAAAAAGACGGUUGAAGAUGAAGAUACCACUUCAGUGAGGCAUGCCACCCAAACACUAAGAUGAAUCUAUUGCUGAUAAAAAGGGGUGAGUAUUAUGUUUUAUGUACUAUAUUGAUCGUUGAUAAUAUGAAUAAAGUCAUGAGGUCAUGGUUCUAAUUUAUUUCAAAUACUAAAAUCUCUAAUUUACUUGUAUGGACAAAACCACUGAGCGUGCUAAAAUGGUAAACCUAUUAAUAGAUUUUUUGCCAUUUUUCUAUUUCAUACAAAAUAAACAGCAGAUAUUUAACAAGAUAAGACCCCAAAAAGGUACCAAUUUAACAAUGUGAUGCUUAAAAAAGUGACAAAAUAAGCAGCAUGCACAACACCAAGAAAUGGAGGGGUAACACUCAGACUUAUCAACACUUUUGUAAAUAGACUAGUUUUUAAACAUUUACCUAGGAUCAUUUUACCAUUUUAAAUUAUAGUACAAACCAAUACAAUACUGUUGUGAAUCUCAUGUCAUAUCGGUAAUUACGCUUUAUUAUUUAUUUCAUGCUAUAAAGAUCCAAAGGAAGAAGAUGAAGAUAGGGAAAGGGGGGAAAAGAACAGAAAGGAGUAGUCGAGCCAAUCUCCCAAACAGACCCCGUCACCUUCACUAAACCAGGGCCAACACCUGGUACUUGUAUGGCCCCAAGCACAGCUGAAGAUAAUACAGAAUUCCUCCUCUCUGAUGGCUGGCGUCAGACUCUCCCUAAAGAAGACCACAAGUGGAUUGCUCGAUCCCUCUUCAAAGUCAACGCCAGCAGUGGAAAAGCCGAGCUAGAUUUCACAAGGUGUUCAUCUAUGGCUUGUUAUGGGGAUCAUUUUACCAUUUUAAAUUAUAGUACAAACCAAUACAAUACUGUUGUGAAUCUCAUGUCAUAUCGGUAAUUACGCUUUAUUAUUUAUUUCAUGCUAUAAAGAUCCAAA